CUCUCUUGGUGGCUCUAGGACUUCACUGAAGUUAUUAAAUAUCACUGGCCACCACCACGUCCUGUCUGUCCAGUUCCGGUUCUCUGGUUUCCACACUCUCAUAAUUCUUCAGCUUCACUGGGACCUCCAGGACUGGAUGCCCACGACUUUCCACUAAUUCCCCUUCCCCUCCUGUCUCCGCUUUCCACCUUUCCUGGCAUAGAUUCCAUGGCCCAUCAUUUUGGAUCUUUUAAAACAAGUUCAGCCCUCUCGCCCCUCUACUAAUCUAGGAAACUCCCAACCCUCAGUAAUCCCAGCUCUGACUUCCGGGCUCGUACUCAGGCAGCUGAGGAGAAAGACCACACAAAGACCACACAACACUGACUGCCUUCAGCGUACCCUCCCCCGCCCUGGCUACCAACAGAUAUGGUGAGGAAGGACAGCUCCUGACAUAAUCGGACAGACCGGUCUCUUACCAUCCCUUUAAUACUUAUUUAGUGGAGGGUCAUCUCCUUCCCUGGAAGACAGUCCAGCAGACCUGUAACUUUUCUUCUCUUAGCAAACAGUCCUACACUCACUUUUGGUCCCAAACCCAUUCUAGAGGCAGUGACCAGAACGUCUGGAUGAGACUUAACAUUGGGGCUUCCCACCUGGAGCAUUUGGGCACAUUCAGGUACGAGAUCUAACCAGUGCGGCUGGAUGCCCUGACCAGCACCAUCCGACAGACUACCUCCAGCCCUCCAAAUGUCCACGGCCACUGCCGCGCUCCCAAGCAUCAUCCUCAGCCUCUUUGCUCCCGGCUCAGGAACGCAAUUCUCAGCUGUCCUGCUGGGCCCCCGGAAGCCCCCUGCACGAGGCUGAGGUCCCCAUCGGGUGAUGUGGGCCCUCCCUCUGGGACUCACACGCUUUGCAGCUCAUUUCACAUCGACUGGAUCUUGUGGCCAAUUCCAACAACUUGGUUCACUUUGAAGAGGACUCAGUACCUGCACGGGGAUUCUGCAGCUCACUGAGGAGCGCGCUUCGGGCUUUCCGAGACAACUCUAAGUCAGGGCAGUGGUGUCUGAAGAAUGGGUUCACAAUGGUCAUACUUCUCGGGGAGGUAACGAGGACUGAACGAGCCGAUGCCCGCCCAGUGCUGAGACGAGCACCUGAAGUCCGGCAAACCCUAAGUACACAUCCGCUGUUACUACUCUCUCCUCCCUCCACCAGCCAGCAGCAGCUCAGCUCCGUCUCGGAGUGGCUUCCCUCAUUUUACUGAAAGAAUAAAGCAA